GUUCACUAUUUUGCGUAACCAUAUUUGUGUGAUCAAGGCGUGACUUUAUUUUGCUACGAUGGCAGAAUGACGAAUUCGUGAGGACUCAACAAGAAGGAAUGUAGCCUACACUAUAACGAUAACUUGAAAACGAAAUAUGAUAAAAAGUAUUAAGGUGGAAUGGGCGUUGCUUUGGUGUCAUGUUUCAGUGCUCUGUGCAGCCCAGCAUUCAGCCCAGCCAGAGACUCGGCAGGUGAAAGGCAUCGUGGGAAAGUUUCUCUCUUUUCCAGAGAGGGUGUUAAAGUCUGGCAAUUUACUUUAUGGAGACCUUGGCAAUAUUGCACAGGUGUACCCUGGUAAACAAAGUAAUACCAACCUUGUGAAGAGAUUUAAAUACCGCCUUCACUGGAACAAUGUUACUGGAUUCUUCACUUUGUCAGACCUACAAAUAGAGGAUUCUGGGGUUUAUACCGUGGAGAAUGCAGAUGAAGUUGAAGAGAAGACGACACAUACAUUUCAGCUGACUGUGUACUAUGAUCUAUCCAAACCUCAGGUGACGGUCCAUGACAACAGCUCCUGUAGCGUGGUGUGUUCUGUGGAGAACGGGAGAGAGGUGACACUGUCCUGGUACAGAGGAGGGGAGAUACUCAACCAGAGCAGCAGCCCUGACCUGAACAUCACCCUCUCUCUACCUCUCAAGGUGGAUGAACAGAACAGAGACUCUUACAGAUGUGAGGCUGCCAACCCAGUCAGCAAUGAGACCGCUGUUGUUCCAAAUUCCUGUAUAAAGAGUGAUCCCUCCAAGGUGACAGAUGGUGAUGAGAGGACUCAAGGUUGUCUUAUUAUUGCUGUAAUCUGCGUUUUGUUUGCCUCAGGACUUGUUGGACUUGCAAUCUAUCUAAAGAAGGGUAGAAAUGGACACUCACAAGGCAGAUUCACCUGAAAGAAAGCAAGAUGACAUUCAGUACACAGCCAUAACUCACAUUAAUCCAGCAGAUAACCAGGAGGAGAGAACAGGUGUGCUUGGAGACAACCCUAACCUGACAUCCGUUUAUGAUCAAAUCCAGUUAUAUCGCAUGGCGAACAGCGAUGACAUCGACACUGCAUGAAGGAGAGAGAAAACAGGAAGUUACUGAGAGGGUGACAUGAUAAUUAAUAUCCAAGAGAAGGCGUUACAUCCUAAAAAAGACAAAAUUAUAGUAAAUAUCCAUCUAGAAAACUUAAUGGAGGCACAUAUUACUUGAGAAAAUGCCCAUUUAUCCAUUGCACUGUUGUUAUUAUGUCAGACUUCCUUUGUUGGUAAUUCUCAGUCUUUUGUUGAAUUGGGGCCUCGAUUAGAUUCACUGAUACAGACAAAUUCAAUAGCUAUGCCUAGGGUUAUUAGUAGGAUGAUCACUCUUUUAAAGUGCCCAUUGUCCCAAUGUAUAGGUUCAAACAAAUGGAAUCUAUCUUUUUAAUACAAUUAAUAAAAAGUAAUAAAUAAUAUACCAUUUAGCAGACGCUUUUAUCCAAAGCGACUUACAGUCAUGCGUGCAUACAAUUCAUUAGUGUGUUUGCUAUUCUACUGCUGGGCCAAAGCUUAUUUUCAGUAGUCUGUUCUGUUGUACACAGCUCCCCUGUAUCUUUUCAUAGCUGGUCAUUGUUUAGCUUGUCAGUGGAUAUCAGCUGUGUACAUAUAAUAAAUAGAGCAGGUGUUUGAGAUAAAGCCACAUAUUCCUUAGAAGCAGUGGUUGUUAGGCUACGUUGGAAACAAAAAGUCCCCAAGUAAAACAUUUUAGUUUCACCAUGUACAUUCUGUUAAAACAUUUCUGAGGGGUUGAUCUUGAUUUGCCUUUUGACUCAGAAAGUGAUCUUGGGUGACAUUUUACUCUUAUUUCUUUUCACAAAAUGCAGACCUGAUUAAGUGUAGUUCAGGUCUUGCUUUGACAACUGUGUUCAUGCAGUUUGAAUGUACAAAAUCAACAGUUUAGUUUAUCAUGAUGGACCAUUUAUUCCUUUUCCUUGUCUACACAGUAUGUAGCUCAUUAUCUCUUAAGAAUACAAUCACUCCCUCCUGCACGCUCCUGCAGACACUCCUUCUAUUAGAGCAUUUUGUGCUCCACCUACGUUAGCCCACAUAUAUAACUUUGAAAAAGAAAUUGUAUCGAUACUAUAGUGAAUUGUGGCACUGUAGGCUAUUUCAUUUUUAUAAUUUCAUUUUUCAGAAUUUUGAGAUUGGCUACAUUUCUCCAGAAAUACAACUCCAUAUUGUGGUUUUAAUGUAGCCUACUUCUAGUAUCAAAUUAGGAGGGACCACCGUAAUUGUUUGGUGGUUUUCAAGUGCGUUUCUCUAUUUAUUGAGUUUAAGUGUAUUUGGGACGUUUUGUCCUGUUACUUUUCAUUUCAAGCAGCUGUACAUUUCUAAUUUGAAAAGAAUGAUGACUAAUCCUCUUAAAGUUCAAGCAUUGCUUUCAAGGAAAUAAUGUUUUUCUUCUAAUGUAUUUUCCCCAUCUAGUGGUUGAAUGUUUUUAUAUUUCAGCAUACUGUACUGUACAUACUACACUAUUUUGUACUCUGAGACAGUGUACUGUAAUUGUUAGUGUAACUUAAAUCAAGUGUCAGCAAAAUGUUCUCAAACAUUUCUAUGCUUUUACGUUUGGACUGUGGUCAUGCAUUUUUGUGCCAAAGUGCCAUUAUUGUAAGUAACAUUAUUGUGAGUAACAAUGACAAUUUGUGAAAUAUUCCAUGUCAAUCAAUAUGCAAAUGUAAACAUUGAGAACCUUUACACUUUCAA